rnacentral:misc_RNA from 1 species
UUGAUUCAUUUUGCUUGUUCACUCAGAAGAAAAUACCACCGCGGGCGAAGACAAGAGUUUGGGUCCCCCGGCGGGCGCCUGGCUCCGGGCCGCCGCCGCCCGCGCGCCUCCCCGGGGGGAGGGGCACGGCAACGGGGGCGCCGGGGCGGUCCGCCGAAGCAACGUUCGGGUAUGUUCACAGGGGGUUUGGGAGUUGAAGAACUCGGUAAUGAUCCCUCCGCUGGUUCACCAACGGAGA